AGCGUAGACGGAAUGGCAAGUCUGAUGUGAAAGGCCGGGGCUCAACCCCGGGACUGCAUUGGAAACUGUCAAUCUAGGGUACCGGAGGGGUAAGUGGAAUUCCUAGUGUAGCGGUGAAAUGCGUAGAUAUUAGGAGGAGCACCAGUGGCGAAGGCGGCUUACUGGACGGUAACUGACGUUGAGGCUCGAAAGCGUGGGGAGCAAACAA
rnacentral:rRNA from 1 species